rnacentral:rRNA from 1 species
UACGAAGGGGGCUAGCGUUGUUCGGAAUUACUGGGCGUAAAGCGCGCGCAGGCGGUUUUUCAAGUCAGUGGUGAAAGCCCGGGGCUCAACCCCGGAAUUGCCUUUAAGACUGCAUCGCUAGAAUUGUGGAGAGGUAAGUGGAAUUCCGAGUGUAGAGGUGAAAUUCGUAGAUAUUCGGAAGAACACCAGUGGCGAAGGCGACUUACUGGACACAUAUUGACGCUGAGGUGCGAAAGCGUGGGGAGCAAACAGG